AGAGUUUGAUCAUGGCUCAGAGCGAACGCUGGCGGCGUGCCUAACACAUGCAAGUCGAACGCGUAGCAUUCUGUAGCAAUACAGGGUGUGGGCGCGUGGCGAACGGGUGCGUAACACGUGGAUAACCUUCCUUCAGGUGGGGAAUAACCCCGCGAAAGCGGGGCUAAUACCGCAUAACAUGACGAUGCCACAUGGUGUUGUCUUCAAAGCCGCAAGGCGCCAGAAGAGGGAUCCGCGGCCGAUUAGCUUGUUGGCGAGGUAAUGGCUCACCAAGGCAUUGAUCGGUAGCCGGACUGAGAGGUUGGCCGGCCACACUGGAACUGAGACACGGUCCAGACUCCUACGGGAGGCAGCAGUGGGGAAUCUUGCACAAUGGACGAAAGUCUGAUGCAGCAACGCCGCGUGGGGGAUGAAGCUUUUCGGAGUGUAAACCCCUUUCGACCCGGAAGAAUGCCCGCAAGGGUUUGACGGUACGGGUAUAAGAAGCCCCGGCUAACUACGUGCCAGCAGCCGCGGUAAUACGUAGGGGGCCAGCGUUGCUCGGAAUUACUGGGCGUAAAGGGUCCGUAGGCGGUGUGGCAAGUCGGGAGUGAAAUCUCUGGGCUUAACCCAGAGGCUGCUUCCGAAACUGCCAUGCUAGAGUGUGAGAGAGGCGAGUGGAAUUACGGGUGUAGCGGUGAAAUGCGUAGAUAUCCGUAGGAACAUCCGANGCGAANGCGGCUCGCUGGAUCACAACUGACGCUGAGGGACGAAAGCUAGGGGAGCAAACAGGAUUAGAUACCCUGGUAGCCCU
rnacentral:rRNA from 1 species